rnacentral:rRNA from 1 species
CUGAAUAACUUUGCUGAUCACACAGUCCUAGCACUGGUGACAUAUCUUUCAAGUGUCUGCCCUAUCAACUUUCGAUGGUAGUUUAUGUGCCUACCAUGGUAGUAACGGGUAACGGAGAAUAAGGGUUCGACUCCGGAGAGGGAGCCUGAGAAAUGGCUACCACAUCCAAGGAAGGCAGCAGGCGCGCAAAUUACCCAAUCUCAGCACGAGGAGGUAGUGACGAAAAAUAACGAGAUGGUUCUCUAUGAGGCCCAUCAUCGGAAUGGGUACAAUUUAAACCCUUUAACGAGGAUCUAUUGGAGGGCAAGUCUGGUGCCAGCAGCCGCGGUAAUUCCAGCUCCAAUAGCAUAUGCCAAUGUUGUUGCUGUUAAAAA